CAGACUCCUACGGGAGGCAGCAGUGGGGAAUAUUGCACAAUGGGCGAAAGCCUGAUGCAGCGACGCCGCGUGAGGGAUGACGGCCUUCGGGUUGUAAACCUCUUUCAGCAGGGAAGAAGCGAAAGUGACGGUACCUGCAGAAGAAGCACCGGCUAACUACGUGCCAGCAGCCGCGGUAAUACGUAGGUGGCAAGCGUUGUCCGGAAUUAUUGGGCGUAAAGCGCGCGCAGGCGGUCUCUUAAGUCUGAUGUGAAAGCCCACGGCUCAACCGUGGAGGGUCAUUGGAAACUGGAAAACUUGAGUGCAGAAGAGGAAAGUGGAAUUCCAUGUGUAGCGGUGAAAUGCGCAGAGAUAUGGAGGAACACCAGUGGCGAAGGC
rnacentral:rRNA from 1 species